AUUGAACGCUGGCGGCAGGCCUAACACAUGCAAGUCGAGCGAGAGGCGGACGGGUGAGUAAUGUAUGGGGAUCUGCCAGAUAGAUGGGGAUAACUACUGGAAACGGUGGCUAAUACCGCAUACUCUCGGAUUAACCCAUAUGGGAUUAGCUAGUAGGUGGGGUAAAGGCUCACCUAGGCCACGAUCUCUAGCUGGUCUGAGAGGAUGAUCAGCCACACUGGGACUGAGAAACGGCCCAGACUCCUACGGGAGGCAGCAGUGGGGAAUAUUGCACAAUGGGCGCAAGCCGGAUGCAGCCAUGCCGCGUGUAUGAAGAAGGCCUUCGGGUUGUAAAGUACUUUCAGCGGGGAGGCGUUACCCUCAGAAGAAGCACCGGCUAACUCCGUGCCAGCAGCCGCGGUAAUUC
rnacentral:rRNA from 1 species